AAUCAACGCUGGCGGCGUGCCUCAGACAUGCAAGUCGAACGAUUAAAGCUCCCUUCGGGGAGUGCAUAGAGUGGCGCACGGGUGAGUAACACGUAAGUAAUCUACCUUCGAGUGGGGAAUAACAGUCGGAAACGACUGCUAAUACCGCAUAAUGCAGCGGCACCUAAUGGUGACAGUUGUUAAAGGAGUAAUUCGCUUGAAGAGGAGCUUGCGGCAGAUUAGCUAGUUGGUAAGGUAAUGGCUUACCAAGGCUACGAUCUGUAACCGGUCUAAGAGGACGGUCGGUCACACUGACACUGAGCAACGGGUCAGACUCCUACGGGAGGCAGCAGUCGGGAAUUUUGGGCAAUGGGCGAAAGCCUGACCCAGCAACGCCGCGUGAAGGAUGAAGUAUUUCGGUAUGUAAACUUCGAAAGAAUGGGAAGAAUAAAUGACGGUACCAUUUAUAAGGUCCGGCUAACUACGUGCCAGCCGCCGCUGUAAUAC
rnacentral:rRNA from 1 species